rnacentral:tRNA from 1 species
GUAAAUGUAGCAGCAUUUUCUGUAGUGUAGUGGUUAUCACGUUUGUUCACACGCGAAAGGUCACUGGUUCGAAACCAGGCGGAAACAACGCUCAUCGACACAUUCAAGAAGUACCAUAGUGUUAACAAAGAAUUUCAUUAAUCCCUUAUUUUGGAAAUUCGAAUACGUGCCAUGAAUAUUUUUAAAAUUCGGUUUACUCCUUGCAGCUAAUUGUAGCAGUAGUUUCUGUGGUGUAGUGGUUAUCACGUUCGCUUCACACGCGAAAUGUCCCUGGUUCGAAACUGGGCGGAAACAACGCUCAUUGACACAUUCUGUAGUACCAUAGUGGUAACAGAAAAUUUCAUGAAUUCUUUAUUUUGGAAAUUCCAAUACGUGCCAUGAAUAUUUUUAAAAUUCGGUUUACUCCUUGCAGAAAAAUCAAGCAGCAGUUUCUGUAGUGUAGUGGUUAUCACGUUAGCUUUACACGUGAAAGGUCCUCAGUUUGAAACCGGGAGGAAACACUGCUCUUUGACAUGUGCAGUAGGUACUGUACUAUUAACAGACAAUAGUUAUUUUCAUAAAUUCCUAAUUUUGGAAAUUUGAACACGUGCCAUGAAUAUCUGUAAAAUUCGGUUUACUCCUUGCAGAUAAUUGUUGAAGAAGAUUCUGUAGUGUAGUGGUUAUCACGUUUGCUUAAUACGCGAAAGGUCCUCGGUUCGAACCCGGGCGGAAACAGAGCUCUUUGACACGUGCAGUAGGUACUGUACUUUCAACAAAGAGUUGUUAUUUUCAUAAAUUCUGCAUUUUGGAAAUUCGAAUACGUGCCCUGAAUAUCUGUAAAAUUCGGUUUACUUCUAGCAGGAAAAUCAAGCAGCAGUUUCUGUAGUGUAGUGGUUAUCACGUUCGCUUUACACGCGAAAGGUCCUCGGUUCGAAACCGGGCGGAAACAGUGCUCUUUGACACGUACAGUACUUUUAAAAGAGAAUAGUUAUUUUCAUAAAUGCCUAAAUUUGGAAAUUUCAACACGUGCCAUGAAUAUCUGUAAAAUUCGGUUUACUCCUUGCAGAUAAUUGUUGAAGCAGUUUCUGUAGUGUAGCGGUUAUCACGUUCGCUUAACACGCGAAAGGUCCUCAGUUUGAAACCGGGCGGAAACACUGCUCUUUGACAUGUGCAGUAGGUACUGUACUAUUAACAGAGAAUAGUUAUUUUCAUAAAUGCCUAAUUUUGGAAAUUUGAACACGUGCCAUGAAUAUCUGUAAAAUUCGGUUUACUCCUUGCAGAUAAUUGUUGAAGCAGUUUCUGUAGUGUAGCGGUUAUCACGUUCGCUUAACACGCGAAAGGUCCUCGGUUCGAAACCGGGCGGAAACAGAGCUCUUUGACACGUGCAGUAGGUACUGUACUUUCAACAAAGAAUUGUUAUUUUCAUGAAUUCUGUAUUUUGGAAAUUCGAAUACGUGCCAUGAAUAUCUGUAAAAUUCGGUUUACUCCUCGCAGCUAAUUGUAGCAGUAGUUUCUGUGGUGUAGUGGUUAUCACGUUCGCUUCACACGCCCCUUUUUGGAGUUUCAGGAAGUGGAAGAGAAGCAGGCGUCUGAGUGCUUGAGAGAGAAUAUCGUUUUUU